UCCUCCCGGAAGCAGGCCUGGGCGGAUGUCUCCGGCGCGUUCGUGCACGGGGCUGAGGGCCGCGGUGGCUGCCAGCAUGGGGUUGAGCGAGGGUCCGGCGGGCUCCACCCGGAGCGGGCGCCUUCUCCGUCCGCCGAGCCCCGCUCCGGCGGCGCCGGGGGCCCGGCUGUUCCGGCUCCCGGGGAGCGGGGCCGUGCGGGCCGCAAACCCGGAGCGCGCCGGCUGGACCGAGGCGCUGCGGGCCGCCGUGGCCGAGCUGCGCGCCGGCGCCGUGGUGGCCGUCCCCACCGAUACGCUGUACGGCCUGGCCUGCUCGGCGAGCUGCUCGGAGGCACUGGGCGUCGUGUACCGCGUCAAGGGCCGCAGCGAGACCAAGCCGCUGGCCGUGUGCCUGGGCCGCGUGGCCGACGUCUACAGGUACUGCCGUGUGAGAGUACCUGAGGGGCUCCUGAAUGACCUGCUGCCAGGACCAGUGACCCUGGUGAUGGAACGCUCAGAGGAGCUCAACAAGGACCUGAACCCCUUCACUCCUCUUGUAGGCAUCCGGAUUCCUGACCACGCCUUCAUGCAGGACUUGGCCCAGGUGUUUGGGGGACCUCUUGCCCUCACCAGCGCCAACCUCAGCUCCCAGGCCAGCUCUCUGAAUGUUGAGGUGCCCUGUGUGCGGUAUGACAUCAUUGCAGAUGCCAGAGGUGGUGUCCAUGCUCUUCCUCUCCCUCUUCUCAGGAAUUUCAGGACCUCUGGCCUCGCUUGUCCUUGGUCAUUGAUGGGGGACCAAUUGGGGACGGCCAGAGCCCUGAGUGUCGACUAGGCUCAACUGUGGUUGACUUGUCUGUGCCUGGAGAGUUUGGCAUCAUUCGUCCGGGUUGGGCCGGAUGCUGGUGUCAAUGUAGCCAGGCCCCACGCUGGGAAUGAACAUGAGGUUGUUGGCAUCGCAAAAGUUCUUCACAGCCUUCCAGUUCUGAUGGGAGGAGCCGAAGGAGAAACCAUUGGAGGCAAAGUAGGUGUACAUGCCAUCAAAUCCGGCGGCCAGGAUGUCGUGGGUGUGGCCCUCCUCCACCAGCAGCGCUAUGAAGACCCCAUCGUAGGGGGUGUUGCGGAUUGAGUGGGGCCCGUUCGGUGUCAGGAGGUGGGCCCAGGCCUCAGGGGAUGUCAGGUAGGAGUCAUAGAUAUAAAAGAGUGGGAGGCUCUUACCCAUGCUGUUCUUAUAGCGGUAAAAUGCACCAUGGGAGCCAUACCUGAGGAGCAGGAGGAAGAAAAGGCUGAGCCAGCAGCCUAAGAGAAAAGAAGCCAGCACAGCCGGAGGGCUGGCCAUGAAUGAGAUCUUUCCUGAUGUCCAAGCACGAUUUUGAAUCCAGUUGGACUCCACAGUUGGACUCAUCAUGCCUCUAAGCAAGAACCCAGUUCCCUCCCACCCUCCCCCGAGCCUUGUCAUUCCUCUAUUUAAGCCUCACUUCCCUGCCCCAGGCCAAGCCACCACCAUCUUCUAUCUGGACUGUACCGACAGCCACCUAACUGGUCUCCAGGCUGCCACUUCCACCUCCCUAUAACCCAGUCUCUUUUUAAAGUGUAAAUCAGAUCUGACUGCUCCUUACCGAGACCAGCAAGGCCCCACCUACUUGAUCUGGCCCUGCCCACUGCCAUUCCUGCUAUUACCCCAUCUAUCGCUUCACGCUUCACUCCGGCUACACCGGCUGCUGUCAAGCUUGUCCCAUCAGACAGCCUUUGGAUCUGGCAGCCCUCUGCCUGGAGUUUUCUGCCUGCCCCAGAUCUCUGCAGAGCUGACUCUUCCUUUAGGUGCAGGCUUACAUGUCAUCUCAGAGAGGCUCACUGGACCACCCAUUCUAAAGUUGUUUCUUGGGCAUACUCUUAACACCCUGCUUUAUUCUGUUAUUACUUCUUCAUAGUAUGGAUCGCUAUUUGAUUUGUCAUCUAUAACCACUAUCUGCUCACUGCACGCCCACCCUAGGAUGUAAACUUUGCAAGCCCUACCCACUGCUGUACAACUGGGACUUAGGACAGUGCCUGGACACCUGAAGGCACUCAAUAAAUAUUUUGUGAAUGAA